GUGAAACCCCAGAAUGUUCUUGCUUAACCAUUUAUUAGAUCUAGUCUCAUUUAUGGAUUGUCAAGUCUGUAUUACCAAGAUGCUGUAUUAUCAAGUCUGUAUUACCAAGGUCAUGUUUCUUAAGUCCAUUGAAUUAGGAUGAUGAUUUGUUCCCAGGAUGUUGCGCUUGGGAAUAUAAAGGUUCAAGAUUUCACGCUAUAAUGAGAAUAAAAUUUGGACAUAACCAACUGGAUUUUUAUGUUCCACCUUUCAUGUGGUCGAACCAAGGUACUUGGCUUUAUCG
rnacentral:misc_RNA from 1 species